GCUAGCGUUGCUCGGAAUUACUGGGCGUAAAGCGCACGUAGGCGGUUUGUUAAGUCGGGGGUGAAAUCCUGGAGCUCAACUCCAGAACUGCCUUCGAUACUGGCGAUCUCGAGUUCGGGAGAGGUGAGUGGAACUGCGAGUAUAGAGGUGAAAUUCGUAGAUAUUCGCAAGAACACCAGUGGCGAAGGCGGCUCACUGGCCCGAUACUGACGCUGAGGUGCGAAAGCGUGGGGAGCAAACAGG
rnacentral:rRNA from 1 species